rnacentral:rRNA from 1 species
AGUGAACGCUGGCGGUAGGCCUAACACAUGCAAGUCGAACGGCAGCACAGUAAGAGCUUGCUCUUACGGGUGGCGAGUGGCGGACGGGUGAGGAAUACAUCGGAAUCUACUUUUUCGUGGGGGAUAACGUAGGGAAACUUACGCUAAUACCGCAUACGACCUACGGGUGAAAUCAGGGGAUCUUCGCACCUUUCGCGAUUGUAUUAGCCGAUGUCGGAUUAGCUAGUUGGCGGGGUAAAGGCCCACCAAGGCGACGAUCCGUAGCUGGUCUGAGAGGAUGAUCAGCCACACUGGAACUGAGACACGGUCCAGACUCCUACGGGAGGCAGCAGUGGGGAAUAUUGGACAAUGGGCGCAAGCCUGAUCCAGCCAUACCGCGUGGGUGAAGAAGGCCUUCGGGUUGUAAAGCCCUUUUGUUGGGAAAGAAAAGCAGCAGGUUAAUACCCCGCUGUUCUGACGGUACCCAAAGAAUAAGCACCGGCUAACUUCGUG